AUUGAACGCUGGCGGCAGGCUUAACACAUGCAAGUCGAGCGGAGUGAUGGUGCUUGCACUAUCACUUAGCGGCGGACGGGUGAGUAAUGCUUAGGAAUCUGCCAUUUAGUGGGGGACAACAUUCCGAAAGGAAUGCUAAUACCGCAUACGUCCUACGGGAGAAAGCAGGGGAUCUUCGGACCUUGCGCUAAUAGAUGAGCCUAAGUCGGAUUAGCUAGUUGGUGGGGUAAAGGCCUACCAAGGCGACGAUCUGUAGCGGGUCUGAGAGGAUGAUCCGCCACACUGGGACUGAGACACGGCCCAGACUCCUACGGGAGGCAGCAGUGGGGAAUAUUGGACAAUGGGGGGAACCCUGAUCCAGCCAUGCCGCGUGUGUGAAGAAGGCCUUAUGGUUGUAAAGCACUUUAAGCGAGGAGGAGGCUACUGAGACUAAUACUCUUGGAUAGUGGACGUUACUCGCAGAAUAAGCACCGGCUAACUCUGUGCCAGCAGCCGCAGUAAUAC
rnacentral:rRNA from 1 species